rnacentral:rRNA from 1 species
UACGUAGGGUGCAAGCGUUGUCCGGAAUCAUUGGGCGUAAAGCGCGUGUAGGCGGCCCGGUAAGUCCGCUGUGAAAGUCGGGGGCUCAACCCUCGGAUGCCGGUGGAUACUGUCGGGCUCGAGUACGGAAGAGGCGAGUGGAAUUCCUGGUGUAGCGGUGAAAUGCGCAGAUAUCAGGAGGAACACCAAUUGCGAAGGCAGCUCGCUGGGACGUCACUGACGCUGAGACGCGAAAGCGUGGGGAGCAAACAGG